GGCAUGAGCUCAGUGGUAGAGUGCGUGCCUAGUAUGCAUGAGGUGCUGGGUCCAAUCCCCAGUAGUGCCU
rnacentral:tRNA from 1 species